rnacentral:SRP_RNA from 1 species
GCUGGGCAGGUGGCACAUGGUUGUAGUCCCAGCUAUUUGGGAGGCAGAGGUGGGAAGAUAGUUUGGGUCCAGGAGUUCUGGGUUAUGGAACACUAUACUGAUCAGGUGUUGGCACUAAGUUCGGCAUCAAUGUGGUGACCUCCUGUGAGCAAGUAAGCGAAGGAUCACCAGGUUGCCCACGUAACAGUGAACUGGUCCAGUCGGAAACAGAGCAGAUCAAAACUACCAUGCUGGUCAGUAAUGGGAUCUUGCCUGUGAACAGUCACUACACUCCAGUCUGGACAAACAUAGUAAGACUCCAUUGCU